UUUUUUCGUCGUGUCCGUAGUCGCUAAUCGGUUGAAUGCGCAAAGGCUGCAAAGGCGGUAGUAACAGAAGUAUGUGUAAGAACCGUUCUGCGUUCACGGGGAUUAUUUAUUAACCCAGUGAGAUGACGGUAACGGAACCAUGUUAGUUUUAGUCACCCCCUUCCCUUUUAUGUCCCCCUUUUUAGUCGACCCAAACCCUGGACAUUUUAGUCUAGUUUUAGUCAACAGAAACCUUUGACCUUUUCAGUCAUCAGGAGACUAGCUGACAAAAACGUGGCGAAGAGUUCGGUCUCGUUUUAGUCAAGGCCAAGAAAGAGCAUUUUCAGUCCAACCUCGGGAAACUUGCUUUCAAGAUAAGAUUUCAUCCGUCUGAUUUUUAGGCUAAAAGAAAAAAUUAAAAUGUAAAUAAGCCCCAAAAUGACAGGUUGUGUGAUGAAGGACGCGGCUUUGCAGAGAGGGCGCCUGGUCUGAUGUUAUUAGUUUAAGCCAUACGUCCGGACGUGAAAGAGGAUAAAACAGUGAAGGUCUGGACAGAUGCAGCAUCCUCAGCAAAUCCGAUGCACCAAACCGUUAAAUGUGGGGGUCCGCAGUGCCGCUAACACUGCUUUGUGUGAGACUUAAUAUGGCCCGAGUUAUUUAACAUCUCUUGAUGUGUCUCCCUGACAACCCUGAGGCAUGAGAACGACCUUAUUGUUGAAGGGAAGAAGAAAAAAAAAAAAAAAUGAACUGAACUUAAAAGACUAACUGCCGCGUAAAAAAAAUCCUGACGUGGGAACUGGAUCCUUACUUGGGUGCAGGCCUUCAGAAGCUGCACGGGCAGCUGCGUCAGGACUCUGCACAAACCCAGAUCUGGCAGCCAGAAACGGCAGACGGGGUGUUCGCUUUAACUCGAGCAAGUUUCAACGCUGAAAGGAGACUGUUUCAAGGACUUACGCCUUAGAAGCUUCCGUUUUAUCACCACGAAUAUAACUUGUUCUUGAUCACUACGUCCUCGGUUUCACAACCUGCGUCGCAGUGUUGGUACCUUUUUGUUCUUGCAAGCAAGUAUAGACGGCUCUCACAAUUGGAUAAAAUAUACAACUUGAGCCUGACUGUCUAAUUUGCACUUGAAAGACUUCUUGUUGUGAGGGAGCACGAGCAAAUCCUUAG